rnacentral:piRNA from 1 species
UGAGAGACAUGAGCUCCCUGCCA